AAAGUGACCCCAGGUCAGGCGGGACUACCCGCUGAAUUUAAGCA
rnacentral:rRNA from 1 species